rnacentral:lncRNA from 1 species
CUUAGUGGUCUAUGAAAGGUAAAUAAUGAAUCAUCUUUUCAAGAUAUUUCAUAUUUAUUUUAAAAAUAAAUAAUUAUUUUUUAAAAUUAUGCAUGAUUUAUAAAAUUAUGUUGGAAUGAAAAGUGAUUCUGAAAUACUAUGAUUUAUUGAUUAUGCAUAUGUCCAGUGAAAAUUGUAAUAUAUUAUGAUACAAAAGUAUUUUGAUACAGAUCAAAUUUAUGCUCUCAGUCUAACAAUAUUUUAGUAGAUCCUGUCAAUGGAGAUUAUAUGUUAGUAC